UACGUAGGGGGCAAGCGUUUGUCCGGAUUUAUUGGGCGUAAAGAGCGUGUAGGCGGCCAUACAGGUCAGCUGUGAAAACUCGAGGCUCAACCUCGAGACGUCGGUUGAAACCGUAUGGCUAGAGUCCGGAAGAGGAGUGUGGAAUUCCUGGUGUAGCGGUGAAAUGCGCAGAUAUCAGGAGGAACACCAAUGGCGAAGGCAGCACUCUGGGACGUGACUGACGCUGAGACGCGAAAGCGUGGGGAGCAAACAGG
rnacentral:rRNA from 1 species